CAAAACGUAACAAGUCAGUAACGUAACAAGCUCCCUCCCCCAACUACUUUUCCAUCCAUGGCCUUUCUUCUUCUUUCUUCCUCUGCAAAUAAUAUGAUUCUUUCAUCCUUUAUCUCUUCUCGAUUUCAUCUCCACUGCUCCGAUUUGGUAUGCGAUCAUGCUGACAGCUUCCGUUAUGGGGUCUACUGUAGAAGCUCAGGGAACAAAAGUUGUCCGAGCUUCCUCUUGCUCUCUUUCCGCUUCUCGAAUUUUCCAGUAGCACGUCCAAGUGGAAAGGGGCUUUAGCUGGAGCACACUGUCUUGAGAGCCGAAUACCAGAUGGUUUGGAUUAGUCCUUCCCGGGAUUAUAUCGAAAUCUCUGACUCCAUCUAGUAGAGACUCUCGAUCUCGACCUUAUGCUCCUCCAGCUUCUCCAAAUCUCGGACCUGCAAGAUAGACAUAACCGAACACAUCAGUUGGUUCCUGCUAAAACAUUGCUUAGUUUACAAGUUAUCCGAGCCAAAUUAUUUUGAUUCCUCUUUGCAGUUUCUCGAGUUGGACAGUCGGCUCCUCCAGAGUUCCAUCAGAAACUCACAUACCUGGUACUCCGGCACCACCCACAAAUCAAACGAGUCGACACAGUUCGUGCAUAUAAGUUAAGGCUAAGCUUGUUCUAGGGCAUUUGGCCACAUGUAGUUAUGUAUCUGAGUUUUGAAAAUGUGGGUGAGUAGAAGAAUGUUGUUCAUAUAACAAUUUGUAAUCUCUUAAAAUAAAUACAAGGAUAGAGAUUGCAUAGUUGAAACUCGAGUCAAACUCAUCCUUUUACUCAAGUCCGGCUCGUUAAUUUUUAAGUUAGCUUAUAUUCGAGGUCUAGUUAGAACAGGAAUACUGAAGUUUGUGUGGAACUCGAGGAAACUCAAGCUCGGUUUGGUACAAAAGUGUUUUCAAUGAGCUCAAUCAGAGCUUUGCACGUUUGAAAUACCACACGUACAAGUUAGAAGUGGUGCAGGCUCACGAGUCUGCAUAAUCGAGCUUAUCAGCCUGCAAGCUUGCCGAGUCAAGUAUAUCCUAAUUCAUCCACUACUAAUUCAUUCAUAUCCCGUCGAGUUUGAAA
rnacentral:lncRNA from 1 species